GGGAGCCCUGCUGGCCGAGUCCCGCGCACCGAGGCAGGGGAGCGCUGCGCCCUGCGCAGGCGGAGCUCCGGGAGAGCGGGCACCCGGCGUCCACGACCCGCCAUGGGACGCCCCCGGAGCCCACGACUGAGGCCGCUGGGGGUCCUGCUGCUGGUGCUGUCGCUGUGGCUGCCACUUGGAGCAGGAGACUCCCUUCCCACAGAGAGCAGGUUUGUGAACAGCUGUAUCCAGGCCAGAAAGAAAUGCCAGGCUGAUCCCGCUUGCAAGGCUGCCUACCAACAGCUGGAGUCCUGCACCUCCAGUUUCAGCACCGAAUUACCCUUGGAGGAGUCUUCCAUGUCCGCAGACUGCCUGGAGGCAGCGCAGCAACUUAGGAACAGCUCUCUGCUAAGCUGCACGUGCCACCGACGCAUGAAGCACCAAGCUGCCUGCCUGAACAUUUACUGGACCGUUCACCCCGCCCGCAGCCUUGGUGACUACGAGUUAGAUGUCUCACCCUAUGAAGACACAGUGACCAGCAAACCCUGGAAAAUGAAUCUCAACAAACUGAGCAUGCUCAAACCAGACUCGGACCUCUGCCUCAAAUUCGCUAUGAUCUGUACUCUUAACGACAAGUGUGACCGCCUGCGCAAGGCCUACGGGGAGGCGUGCUCGGGGUUCCGCUGCCAGCGCCACCUCUGCCUGGCGCAGCUGCGCUCCUUCUUCGAGAAGGCGGCCGAGUCCCAUGCCCAGGCCCUGCUGCUGUGCCCCUGCAGGCCCGAGGAUGUGGGCUGUGGGGAGCGCCGGCGGAACACCAUCGCCCCCAGCUGCGCCCUCCCUUCUGAGGUCCCCAACUGCCUGGAGCUUCGGAGCUUCUGCCGGGCGGACCCUCUCUGCAGAUCACGCCUAAUGGACUUCCAGACCCACUGCCAUCCUAUGGACAUCCUGGGGACUUGUACAACUGAGCAGUCCAGAUGUCUGCGGGCGUACAUGGGGCUGAUUGGGACUGCCAUGACCCCAAACUUCAUCAGCAAGGUCAAUGCCAGUGUUGCCUUAAGCUGCACCUGCCGAGGCAGUGGCAACCUACAGGACGAGUGCGAACAGCUGGAAAGGUCGUUCUCCCAGAACCCCUGCCUCAGUGCCGGAGGCCAUUGCAGCUAAGAUGCAUUUCCACAGACAACUCUUCUCCCAGGACUGGGACGGCUCGACCUUUUCUGUGAUGCAGGAGAACCAUAGCCCGGCUCCGAGACCCCAGCCCAGGCUGCCUGUUCUUUCUUUCUUCGUGCUUACUUUGGUUCUGCUUCAACCCCUCUGGUAGCUGGGCUUCCUCAGGGACUUGCAGCCUGUUUCGGGCGAGAAAACGACAGCGUCUGGAAGAAGAUGCAGUGAGCAACACUGCAACCCUGGACUCCAGCAGGCAUCCCACCUGGCACGUCCUGUCUGCUCCGGAGGAGGGCUUGGGAGAAGCCAGGGCCUGUGACCUUCGGAUCCUGACUGGCUGGUUUUCAAACCUCCCUUACCCCUUCCUUCAUCUGUCUCCGGCCGUCCCUCCUUAGGGCUUUGUCACCCCCGUUUGGCCAUAGAUUCUGGUGGUGAUUUGCUUCCCCACCCCCCACCCUUCUUCCUGUUUCCCAGGAUCGCCCUCCCAGAGCCUAACCGAUCAGUCAUCCCCUGUUGCAUUCUUCAGGAAGGCAGGGCUGAGGGUUCCGAGGCAGCUGAGGAAGGCAUUCCCUUUGUGAGGAAGGCUUGUGUUCCCGUCCCCUCAGCCCCUCUGAAUGGAAGGUGAGAGCCCGCGGUCUACACUGCCCUGCCCUGCGAUCCUGAACACUGGGGCAUCAAGAGCUGAAGCCUUUGGGUCUUGCUUAGCACCUGCUACUGUCCCCAAGUCCCCAGCCCCUUGGAUCAUGAUUAAACGUUUUGA